CCUGUUUAACAAAAACAUGUYUUUUUGAGUUAAUUUUAAAGUYUGACCUGCCCMCUGAAAUUUUUAAAUGGCCGCAGUAUUYUAACUGUGCAAAGGUAGCAUAAUCAUUAGUYUUUUAAUUGAAGGCUGGUAUGAACGGUUGGACGAGGUAUAAGCUGUUUCAUAUAAAUUUAUAAUAGAAUUUUAUAUUUUAGUUAAAAAGCUAAAAUAUAAUUAAAAGACGAGAAGACCCUAUAAAUCUUUAUAUUUUUUAUUAUUCAAGUUUUUUGGUUUUUUUUUACUUUUAUAUUGAAAAAUAUUUUGUUGGGGUGAUAUUAAAAUUUAAUGAACUUUUAAUUAUAAAAAAUCAUUAAUUUAUGAGUUGUUGAUCCAUUACUAGUGAUUAUAAGAUUAAGUUACUUUAGGGAUAACAGCGUAAUUUUUUUGGAGAGUUCAUAUCGAUAAAAAAGUUUGCGACCUCGAUGUUGGAUUAAGAUAUAAUUUUAGGUGUAGCCG
rnacentral:rRNA from 1 species